rnacentral:lncRNA from 7 species
CGUCUUGUUUUACUUGUUGCAGGAGCUGAAACUUGCCGCAGCCAGUAAGCUGCAGUGUGUGCUGCUGUAGGAGAGCUGGCCGGAACGUGGCUUUCUUCCCCAACCACCUCUGAGUAUCCACGGGCUAUUAAGAGUUCAGACGGGGGAUCUUAUUAAGCUCUUGUUCUGAAGAGGGGUUAACGCAGAAGUUUAGAGAAAAUAACACCCUUAGAUGGAGGACUUACUAAUGCUGGGUGUCUACGCUGCGUUGUUAUCAUGGCUUAAUGCAAACACCUGGCCAGGACGGAAGUUUGAUCCUGCAAGAGCCAAGCAAUGCAGCAGCUUCAUCUCAUUGGGCAGAAGAUAAGCACUGCACAUGCAGAUCUUCCAGAUGUCCCAGGACUUGUCCCAGGAAUCUUCAUAUGCCCUCUGAAAGCCAGUUGUAAUGGAAAGGCUGCUUCAUGUGGUGCAUCGAACACGUUUCAUUUUGUGGCCCUCAAAUUGAGCAAAAAGGGCUGUCAGAGCAAGGCUGCAGGAUUCAGGCUCUGACCUUCACACCCUGCUCUCUCCUGUUCUUGCUGGUACUGUGUGCUGAGGGGAGGCUCCUGCAGCACCUGCCCUGGGAUAAGGCAUCACGGUUUGUUCCUGUCCCUGCCUUCAAGGUAGUAAAGCACAGCAAUACUCUGGAGCCUGCUGUCUGAAUGAGUAUGUGCUGGGAUUAACCUGCUGCCCAACAGCUUGCUAUAUUUUCAUAGUGCUUCCCAUAGCUGCCAGUCUGACAGGCCUCUGAAAGCUGAGGGAAGUGGUUAGUGAUAAGGUUUAAGGCACGACAGACUUGUUCCGCUGAUUAUUCUGACUGCAGUUUUAGCUCUCCCCUCCUGGCUGUCAAAGAGGAGUUGGUCCUUGUAUGCAAGAUCUUAAACCACGUGUUGGGAGCUCAUGCAUGGAGCAGAGCAGCGGCAUCAGAGGGGAUCCGAGUUGCUUGGAGCCCUGCUUGUGUGACUCACCGGUGGCACUGAAGACCUUCCCCUGCAGGCUGGAUCCUGGACAGCGCUCCCAUCCCUGCACCUCCAACCUCAGUGCCCGGAUGGUGAGCACCAGGGAGAUGACUGCUGUCCAGCAGGGUCUCUGAUGUUCUGAUUCUUCACCACACCUUUACCUGCUUGCUGGUGAACUUCUGGUUUCAUAAAGCUCAGCCUGAAAAUGGAUGGCUGCCGUAGCCCUUGGCUGUUCCAGUCUGAGUUCAUAGCAUACAUGUGCAGCACUGCUUUGUCCAAGCAGCUCCUUGCCUUAUGCUGUUUUCCUUAAAAAUAUAUAUAUAUAUUU